rnacentral:tRNA from 1 species
GUCGCGGUGGCAGAGCGAUAAUGUGCUUGGCUUCCAAACCAAGGGUCCCGGGUUCGAAUCCUGGUGAAGACU